rnacentral:lncRNA from 1 species
GAUUGAGGAAGAAGAGUCUUUUGAAGUUUACUCUGUCACAUUGCCAGAAAUUGCCUCCACUGCCUUUACAGCUGAGAAGUUCCCACAGAAAGAAAAACAAAUGAUGAUGAUAAGAAGAGGAAAAAGACCCAGUGUAAUGACCCUUGACUGAACUCCUAAUGUGUACCAGACUCAAUCUGAAGUUUCUCCAUGCUCUUUCCACUUCUCAAGGAAACACUUCAAGAUCAUUGAGAAACCAUGAUCCAUUAAAAAUUAUUCAACAGUUAUUUCCCCACCACUAUUCUCUUCACCCACUGUGCCCCAACCAUCCUGAUCUUCUGGCUCAAAAACCCCAAGGUCAGUUCUGCUUCUGGCCUUCUCACCUCCUCUUCCCUAUGCCUUCCAUGCACUUCCAGUUCGUCUACACAUGCUGCCUUCUUCUUGUCAUUCUGGUCUCAACUCAGAAAUUACCUCUUCCAUGGGGAAUUCUUUCACCAUCUGAUCUAGGGUUGUUCUUCACCCCUCAUAUCAGCCACUUUCUAUCAAAAAGACCUCUUUUAUAUUUUCAUAAUUCUUCUCAAUAUCAAAAAGUAACUUCUUCAUAUAUUUACUUGUUUACUGUCUAUACCCUACCUCUCACUAGUUUGUGUAAGUUCCAUGAGAACAUAGAAUUUGCUGUAUUGAAACAAUUCCUGGUACAUCAUAUUCAGUAAUAUUUGUUGAAUAAAUUUGUGAACACUUACUAUGUGCUAGAUACU